GCCAGAAUAACUAGAGCUGAAUUAUGUCAGAGCUGAGAUCUAAACUCCAUUCCACUGCAGAGAUGGUCUCGUUUGUACAAAGCGACUAUAAGGCACACCUUGAGAAGCAAGGAAGAAGGAUAACAGAUUAGUGACCUCCUGGACUAUGAAAUCACUUUAUACUAUUCUCAAGAGUUUAUCAAUGCAAUAAAAGAAGUAGUAGAAAGAAGAGGAGAUGAUGACAACAACGAAGUCGACAACUAUGACGAGAACAAUGAAGGGAAGAGAAGGGAAAGGAAAGAAAAAGGAAAAGGAAAGGAAGGGAAGGGGAGGGAG
rnacentral:lncRNA from 1 species